rnacentral:tRNA from 1 species
ACUUAAAUAGCUUAAUGUUUAGAGCACGACACUGAAGAUGUUGAUGAGGCGUUUACUGCCUUUGAGUA